CUUAAGUAGAAUUGAUAACCAGAAGAUAGCUUCAUAGUUGUUUUAAACAAGUGUUAUCUCCUUUCUCUGUUUUCCAUGCCUUCUUUUUCCUUUUUUAAAAUGAUUUUUAAGUCAUGGUGGACAAGGCUGGCACCAACAAGAUCCCAAUCCCAUGGGAGCCUCAUUGAUACCAUACCCUUCUCACCUACCUACAUUACUAGAAUGAGAUCCUUCAGAUCAGCUCACAACCAAUAUUCUAAUGACCACCUCCUUCCUCUAUACAUGAAUGCGAGCUCUUUUGAGUUAGAAACACUGAGACUCAACACUAAGAAUUCCUCAAGCCUUUCAAAACUUUUCAUUGGCUUGGCCUUUCAGGCUGCUCUGGCUCAGUUUCAGACAAUUUCUUCUCCUUCUUCUUCAUCAGGGUCAUCAUCUAAGGAUCUAACUCCUUUUUUUGGGGCAGCAAUGGUUAUUGCCUUUGCAGCUUCACUCUCUGGAUAUUUUCUGAGUCAAUCUAAUCCAAGGCUUGCAGCUUUAGUUGAAAGAGCUGGUUGUUUCUGUUUCACAAUAGGUUUAUUUGUGAUGACUAAAACUUUUCUUUCAGGAAGUUUGGUUAUGAAGGUCAUGGGUUGGCUAGCUGGGGCUUUCCCCAUGUUAGCCUUCCUCAGAUCUUGUCUUGCAUAAAGACUAUGAAUCUGUAGGAGCUUCAAAACCUCUGAACUUAGUAAAAUGAUCGAUUGAUUAUUGCCUAAUUUAGACAGAAUGAUCUAUUGAUUAUCGCCUCAAUUUAGGCAGGUAAGUAUCAUUAUACUAAGUAAAUGAGAUGUUGUGGCUUCUACAUUAUGCAGCCAUCCCUAUAUGUGAUGGCAUGUCCUAGGACCAUUUACUUUACCCUUAUCUCCAACUUGCAUAGUUCUAUAUACUUCGCUGAGGGAUUACCAUUUAUAUGAAAUGUUAUCCCACCAUGGCAAAAUAUAUUUGAAAACCUUGCCAGUUAUUUUGUCAUGGUUUCUCACUCUAGCCAAACUACUAUGUAUCCUCAAUUAUCACUUCUCUGACAACAACCUUUUAUAUGGCAACUGCAGGAAUAAGGCCUUAAUGUCACGGAUGACCCGUGACAUUAAGCUGUGUUUAUAUAACAAACCUUUUACACCCAAUAUAGGUGGAAAUUAAACCUCACUUAACUUGGUGUUUUAGGUGGUGAGAUCCACUACACACCCCAUCUGAAUCAUAUUACAUCAUUGGUCUAUGUGGUAAGAAAUUUAGCCAUGGAUAUGUAUAUCUUUAGAGUCUAUGAGGCCUGCUUAUUAAUGGUCUAUGGCUCUAUAGGUCUAAAGAUAUGGCUUCCUGAGCCAAAGAAAAUAGCCCAAAUGAGGGAAUUUCUUUAAUUCUCUUUAAGGCAUUAUGUCUAUUUAUGGCUUCAUACUUUCCAGAAACCGACCAUUGACCAGCAAUCUCGGAUCAGUUUGGAUAACACAAUACAAACUAGUCAGUGUCUCAUUGCUUGACAAAGUUCUACAUGCAGCUUGGAGGUUCUCAUCUAUCCUGCAGAAGACAGACCAAUCUUCUGCAUGACGAACCAGACAUGGACAACAACUUUACCAACAUGUUAUUGAUUAAGGCCUGAUAUAGCGAUUCUUGCAGUAGCAAAAGGAUUAGUCAGUUUAUAUCAUUAUAAGUAUCCAACAGACAAUUUAGGUUUAUCACAACCAUGAAACUAUUAAGAUAGUAUCUUACAACUAAGACAGAGAUCUUCCUUCAUUACUGAACUAUGUACUAAGUGUGAGAGAUUAAGGGAGAGAUCUUCCUCUCACUCAACUACAACACAAUGACACAUGGUAUAGUUAUUGGAGGCAAGUUAAUUGUCUUUCGUUACAUGUACUAAAAUAUAGUAAGUGGGAUGUACCUAUUAAUAUUCUAUGAAUUUUGUGUAAUGUAUUUUGUGCUUCUUUCAA